rnacentral:rRNA from 2 species
ACGGGAGGCAGCAGUGGGGAAUAUUGCACAAUGGGCGAAAGCCUGAUGCAGCAACGCCGCGUGAAGGAUGAAGGCCUUCGGGUCGUAAACUUCUGUCCUUGGGGAAGAAACAAAUGACGGUACCCUUGGAGGAAGCCCCGGCUAACUACGUGCCAGCAGCCGCGGUAAUACGUAGGGGGCAAGCGUUAUCCGGAAUUAUUGGGCGUAAAGAGUGCGUAGGUGGUUUCCUAAGCGCAGGGUUUAAGGCAAUGGCUUAACCAUUGUUCGCCUUGCGAACUGGGUUACUUGAGUACAGGAGGGGAAAGUGGAAUUCCUAGUGUAGCGGUGAAAUGCGUAGAUAUUAGGAGGAACACCAGUGGCGAAGGCGACUUUCUGGACUGUUACUGACACUGAGGCACGAAAGCGUGGGGAGCAAACAGGAUUAGAUACCCUGGUA